rnacentral:lncRNA from 10 species
GUGGCGGUGGGAUCCCGCGGCCGUGUUUUCCUGGUGGCCCGGCCAUGCCUGAGGUUUCUCCCUCAGCCGCCCCUCUGCGGGCUCCCAGGUGCCCUUGCCCUCGCGGUCCCCGGCCCUUGCCUGUCUGCGCCCCCUUCCCCGCCCGCCGCCCGCCGAUCCUCUCUCCUCCCCGAGCGGCUCACCGGCUUUACGUCGGUUGGUGGCCGCGUCUGGGACCGAACCGGGCACCGCCUUGUGGAAAAAAAAGAAUAGAAUAUACCCUGUUAAAUCAGACAUGAUACUUGCUUUUGUGGAGCUUAUGCUUUAGUGCAGAAACAGAAAGUCAAGCAAAAACUCAAACUAUGUAACUUUAAAUUGGAUAUGUGCUAAUGAAGGAAAAUGUGGCACUGUAAGAAAAAAUAAUAGGGAGUUAAAGGAUAAAUAGGAGUUUGCUGGAUGAAAUUUAUGAAGAGCUGAAGAUUUCAAACAAAAGAAACUGAUGCAGGAGGGUGCAGCUUUGGAGUCAAGAAUGAAGUUCUAGGAGAUAGAGAGCAAAGAAAUGGUGGGAGAGGAGGUCAAAAAAUACUAGGCUUUAGAAUUUCACCAUAUGAAUUUUGGGAGAGAGGAGCACAGUUCAGCCCAUAACUAACACACGACGGAAUGAAGUUGAUAAUAGUGAGACCUUGUUGGUACAAGACUAUGUAACAUAACCUGCGCUUCUCAACAAAGAAUUGCUUUUCUGACUUCUGCACUCAAUAGCAAGACAAAUCUCUCCUCUGCCUUCUCCUUAUCAGACUACUCAACAUGAAGGCAAUAAGAAUGAAGACCUCUAUGUAUAAUAAUUGACUUCCACUUAAUAAAUAUCCCCACUUUUGUUCCUAGAGCAACACGCUGUCCUGGAUAGCUAACGUGUUUAUGAAUGCAAGGAAAUUUUCAAAAAGGGAGUUUGAAAUUUAACUCCACAAACUACUAUCUGGAUUGGAAUGCUACAUUAAAUGUAUUAUAAUUUUGUAUGGACAUAUAAGGAUGGGGAAUGAAAAGCAUCCAAGGCCAUAUGUUGAUAAUCUUUUGAUAUGUUAAGAAAUAAUCUAGUGUUAUUUUCUAUUUCUUCUCAAAUGUUUUUA